GUUUGAACCCAGGAGGCAGAGGUUGCAAUGAGCCAAGAUCACACCACUGCACUCCAGCCUGGGUGACAGAGUGAGACUCCGUCAAACAACAACAACAAAAAACAAACAAACAAACAAACAAAAACUACAAAUGUAGGCAAGUAACCAGCAUAAUUGUCCCCAUUUCACACAUAAGGAGAAAUGUGGCUCAGAGAAUCUGUGUGAUUUCCCCAAAGUCACGUUAAGUAGAGGCUCAGGGUCAAAACCACCCCCAGUCCAGUGAUUUGUCCACUCCUCUCUACUCAGAGGUUUCACACACCAUCAAGUAAAGGCUUCUGUUUAAAAAAAAAGAAAAGAAAAGUACAACAUUCUAAAGGAAACUCUAGUUGUUCCUAAAAAUUGCCAGGCAAUAAUGCUAUGACUAUUUAACUUAUUGUUAUUAUUAAUAAAGUGCAUCUAGAUUAUCCUACCUAAAUUUUGGCCUUUACUCUCCAUGGAAGGUGUUUAACUAGAGAUAAAAUAUAAUGUAUUUUGAAGUGCAUGGUAUUUCGCUGAGGAGAGACUUGGGUUCAAAUACCAGCUUUGCUAUUUACUAGCUUUAUGACUAAGGCCAAGUUACUCAGUCCCUUUGAAUCUGAGUUUUCUUAUCUUUAAUAUAGAAAUUAUAAUAAAUUCAUCACAGAAAUAUGGCAAGGAGUAAACAAAACUGCAUGUGAAAAGUGUUUAACAGGGUGUACUUGAUGCAUAGUAGUGCUCAAAGAAUGUCAAAAUCUAGGGAGACAAACUCUUUAACAUCUUGUCUGCUAACAGUGAUCAAGCUACCCACAAGUUCUUUCAUAGAGAGAUUUCAUUCAGGCUGUAGCCCCACUAGGGUACUACUCUUCGCAUAAUACCUUACACUUUGUGAAGAAGGUACACACACUGUCACAAUUAAGGAAUCAAAUCACUGUCUUCAGGUUUCAACCAUUUGCCAGAAAUCACGUUAGCUUUUGAAUCCACUAGCAAAAGAUAAAGGAUUCCCUUCUUUUCCUUAUUAACAGAAUUCAAAUAAAACAUGUCCUAAGCAUCUGAAAUAAGCCCCAAUAUUGGGAGAGCACUAGAUGUCAGUUACAAUUUCUUGAGUAGCUGCUAAGUUCCAGUCUCACUGUAAGGCACUUCCACCCAUUAAAAGACAUUAGCACAUUUGAGCCUUGCAAACAACUUAACAGGUAAGCUGUGGAAAUAUAAUAUUCUCUUCAUUUUACAAGUGAGGGAACUGAGACUCAGAGUUGCCCAUCAUUGCUUAGCUCCCGAAAGCAGCAGAACAAGAUUCUGACUCCAAUGCUCUUCCCGCCUCCUUUAGGGCAAGGGCUCACUGCCUACGACUCCCAAGUCACCAUCAAGUUGACAUCCAACAGAAAGUGCCCCAAGAGUGUGCACGGGUGGCUGUGAGUGGGAGGUGCCUGACUCACCACCACUGACUCACCAUCAGGAGGGAUCUGCUGCACUGGUCCUUUGCACUCUUAUUCUCACCUUUUGAAAUAGGAUGGCAUCUUACUUGGUUUAGAUUUAAGUCAGUAUCUACUUACCAAGUAGCCUGAUUCAUUUCAGAAUUUCAGAUUUGUACUAUGUUUCCCAGAAAGCCAUUUGAAACUGUAGCUUUUCUUUGUGUGAGUUUUAUUGUUCUACAAAAGGAAAAUCUGCUUUUUCAUGAUUGCUCACUAUUUAUGAAGUCAACACUAUUUGGCAGUCACUGUGCUAAGUUCCAGGUACAGAGCAACUGACUAGACUGAUUCCAUCCCUGCCCUCGUGGAGCUGAUAGUCAGCUGGACAUAACAGACCUAAACACUAAAUUAUAAAAGUGAUUACACAGUAAAAACUCUGAUGACUGCCACAAAGGGGAAGUCCAGACUGCAAUAAGAGGUUAUAUUAGGGGACAUACCACAGUCUUGGGGUCAGGGAGGGCUUCCCUGAGAAAGUGCUAUUUAAGGAGAAAGCAGAAGGAUGAGCACAAAUUAGCCAAUCUAAUGGAGGGGUAAUGAUACUCCCAGCAAAGGAAACAGCACUUGCAAAAUCCCUGGGGCAGGAAGAAGAGUAACACAUUUAAGGAACUGAGAGGUUAGUGUGGCUAAAGAGCAGAGACCCAAAGUGGAAACGAUGUAAGAAUGGAGGAACAGGAGUAUAGCAAUGCUUUCCAAAGCACUAACUGGCGAUGGCAUCAGCCAUUGUGAAUGCAUACAGUCAGCCCAAUGCAAAUGCCAGUUAAUCUCUCUUGACAUUUAUGGAAAUUAGACCUGAACCAAUGAAAAGUUCGAUAGCUAAUUUUUCUUUCUUCUUCUCUUCCUCUUCCACCUUCUAUUUUUUUCUUGAUGAUUAUAUUACUUUCUAAGUAUGAGAGGGGAAGUAGACAGAAAGAAUCUCUGAAGAAACUGUUUACAUUACACAUCUCAUGCACUGUGUGUAGGGAAACAUGGUGUAACUUUAAGCAAACUAACAAGCUUCAGGGUUUUUUGUUCUUCUGCAAAACAGUGCUGAAAAACUGCAGAACACAUUUAAGAUUAAGUGAGGCAAUGUAUACAAUCUGCUACGCACAGUGACUCACUCUAAUAGUUAAAGCAGCACCCUCUUUCCAGGUGAGACAGGAAACUGAAGAGGUGUAUUAGUUAGGCUAGGCUAACUGCUGUAACAAACAAAUCUAUGCAUAGUGGUUCAAACACAAUAGAAGUUGAUUCCCUGCUCGUGUAAUGUCUAAACUGGCUGUUCCGGAGGUGGCCAGCUCUCAUCCACAAAGCAAUCCAGGAACCAGUCUCCUUCUCUCUUAGUGCUGCACCCUGUUACUCCACAUCAGGCUGGAGGAAAGGUAAAACAUGGAGGAGUGUGUAUGAACGAGGCCUAAAAGUGAAAAUAUUACUUCUCUUGUAGAUCUCCAUUACACAAUCUCACCUAACUACCAGGAAAUAAAGUCCAGUGGAGUGGAAAAAGAAGGAGCGAGUGUAAGUGGUUAGCCAGCAGUCUUGGCCACCACGCAUAAAGUUUUCACAUCAUCUGUCCCCUUUAUCAGGACUAUCUUCUAAGGCCAAGGAACAAAAAUAAAUGAGGGCAGAGUAUUCCUCAGAUUAGAAGAAAAUAGCUUUGCCAAGUUGAUCUACUUUGGGACAGAGGAUGAGGAACUACAGCCCAUGGGCCAAAUGUCACUCUGACCCAUCCAUUGUUUUUGUCAAUAAAGUUUUAUUGGAAUACAGCCUCAUUCAUUCAUUUACAUAUUAUCUAUGACUGUUUUCUCUAUAAUGGCAGAGUGGAGCAGGAAGGACAGUGGCUCAGUAUCCAGUAAAGAUGAAAAUAUUUACUAUUUCUGUCUUUAUCAAAAAAGAAGGAAAGAAAGAAUGAAAGAAAGGAAGGAAGGAAAGGGAAGGGAAGGAAGGAAGGAAGGAAGGGGAAGAAAGAAAGAAAGGAAGGAAAGAAAGAAAGAAAGAAAGAAAGAAAGAAAGAAAGAAAGAAAGAAAGAAAGAAAGAAGAAAGAAAGAGAGAAAGAAAGAAAGAAAGAAAGAAAGAAAGAAAGAAAGAAAGAAAGAAAGAAAGAAAGAAAGAAAAAAAGAUAAAGACAAUGGCCAACCUCUGAUUUACAAUGUGUUUGCUAUUUUGUCAAGAGAUGAUUUACACAUCCUAUUUUCUUUUCCGGAUCUCCAAGAUGAAGUGGUGUACAAUUGCAAGAAUGACUAAAAGAAGGAGGAGCAUAUACUCUGCAGUUCUAACAGUCUGGGGACCACCUUUUACUAAAUUCCUUCCAUCCUUCUUUAUAAUAGUGAUUGAUGUUAUGUGGCAGGCAGUGGAGAAAUGUAACUGGUUUUCAACU
rnacentral:lncRNA from 1 species